AUUAUUUUAAGAUUAUUUUUUAUUGUUGAAAAAAUUAAAAAUAAAUUGUUUUUAACAAAAAUUAAAAUUUAUAAUAUUUCAUUUUUUGGUUUUUUGUUUUAAAUUAAAAUAAUAAAUAUGGGGGAAAAAAAAAUUUUGUUAUAAAUUAUAUUAGUUUAUUUUAAUUAAAAAUAUUUUUUAUUAAAUUUGUUUUUUUUAUUUUUUUAUAAAAAAUAUUAAUUUAAUUAUUAUUAUUGAGUUUAAUUUAGUUAUUUUUAAAAAAAUUUUGUAUAAAAUAAAUUUGAUAAUAAAUGUUUUUUAAAUUCUUUGGGGGUUUAGUUUAUGAUUUUUUGUUUCUGCUCAUUGUUAAAUAAAAGCACUUUUAGCGUGAUUGGUCAAAAGGUAA
rnacentral:rRNA from 1 species